rnacentral:lncRNA from 1 species
UUUUUUUUUUUUUGUCUUUUUGCUUUUUCUUGAGCCGCUCCCGUGGCACAUGGAGGUUCCCAGGCUAGGGGUCUAAUCGGAGCUGUAGCCACCGGCCUACGCCAGACCCACAGCAACUUGGGAUCCGAGCCACGUCUGCGACCCGCACAAGAGCUCACGGCAAUGCCAGAUCCUUAACCCACUGAGCAAGGGCAGGGACUGAACCCGCAAACCUCAUGGUUCCUAGUCGGAUUCGUUAACCACUGCGCCACGAUGGGAACUCCCUCCAUUUCUCCUCUUGAUGGACAGCUAUGCUCUUCCUGGCUCACUGCCAUGCAAACAAUGCUACAGUUAUUUUACACGUAUUUCCUUGGGCAUCUGUGCGUACACGCCUAGGACUGAGACUUCCGGUCACGGGGACACCGGCCUUGACCCUUCCUAGAGACCUGCGCUCCCAUCACAGUAGCAGGUCUUACUGGCUCCGCUGAGGUGCGAGACGCUUCCACUCGACAUCCGCCCCCACUGCCAUCACCACACAUCUCUGCUUCUGCUGAUCUGACGCUUUAAUCUGCAUGCCCUGCAUCGCUAGUGAGGUGGAACAUCCGCUUACGGUCGGUCACUGGCUGGCUGGGCUGCCUCAUCUCUGAAUCGCCACAUUUCUCUGCUGCUCUCUGUUCUGCGCGUUGCAAGUGUCUCUUCCCUGCUUCAAGGAAUCUUCUUAAAUAUGAAGGAGGAAGUCUGAUUGUGCAACAGGUCUUGGGUACACAGUCAAAUACACCAGUCCUUUCCCUUUGGGUUGACUUGAUUUGAUAAAUCCUCUUAACGUCCUAAGUAUCUUCUACACUUUCUACUGUAAGUUGUAAAGAUAUGUUUUGUGGUUGGGUUUUUUCACAUUCAGGUUCUUCAAUUUCCCCAAAUUGAUCUCUGUGUGGGGUAGAGAUCUAACUUUAUUUUUCCUCAUAUGUGGAUGGCCAGUUGUCCUAGCACAAUUCAUCGAGUAAGUGGUCAUUCCCAGCUGACUUACAACAGGUUCUCUGUAAUAUAGCCAGCUGUCACAUAUGCAUGUCCAAAGCCCUUGAUUUUACCCACUGGUCCGUCUGUCCACCCCUCCGCCAACACCACUGGCCAGUCACCGCAGCUUGGUAAUGAAUCUUGACAUCCAGCAGGUGCAUUCCUCACCCUGUCUUUCUGCUUCAGAAUUGUUUGGCCGCACAUACCUUCCUUCAAUUCUGGGAAAUUCUCAGCCUUUAGCCUUUACUUUCUAAAAAAUUAAUUUGUAAAAUUUAUUUUUUGGCUGCAGCAUGCAGCAGCUUGACAUGGGAUCUCUGUUCCCAGACCAGGGACUGAACCCAGGCCACAGCAGUGAAAGCGCCAAGUCCUACCCAACAAACCACCAGGAACUCCCCGUUAAUCUUCUCAAAUCAGAUGCUUUUCCUUGUCUUUUCCUUGCCCAUUCUCUAAGUGCCUUCCUUCUGGAUUUCUGAAUGGACCUUCUCAUUCUUCCCUCUGACUGCUGGUCAUACUCUCGCACUUUCCGUCUCCUUAUCUCCUGCCGGGUUUCGGAUGAUCUUCCCAGAUCGAACCGCCGAGUUCACUAAUUCUGUCUUCCACGGCAUCCAACCUGACGGGUUUUCGUUGGUUUUUUUACUUCAAUGACCACAUUGUUCACUUUCAGAAGGUUUUCUUGUUUUCUUGUUUUUUAAAUCUCCCAACUCCUUUUUCAUACUGACCUUUUCUGUCAUUAUGGCCCUAUUUCUUUUCCAAUCAUUAAAAAUUAAAAAAAAAAUACUUAUCUUUAGCACGAACUUCAGGUUCUUUUAGUAAUUCAGAGUCUCCCGUGUGUUAAGAGUCCCUGACGCCCCCACCCCACGGCAGGUUCUUUACGUGGUUGCCAUCACUCCAUGGUGACACCCCCCUCCCAGUGCCAGCUGUUCACAUGAACCCUGCCGGCUCUGGAUGGUGGAAGCGUGUCUAGAGAAGACUCUGUCUUUGCCCUACCCAGGGCUUUAAGGACGUUAACAGUCUCUGUGUAUUCUCACCUCAGGCUUUGAGUUUUGUUUCCUGCACCACUGAGACACAAAAAGCGUGCAGUCCACACCCAUGUACGGCCUGGCAGUUUAAGUUCUGAUCCCCUUUAAGGCAGAGGCCGACCUUCAAGACACAGCACUUUAGGCAAGGGUCCAAAUUCUAGCUCCCACACCUCCCCUGGCCAAAGUCACAUGUACCCCUGGACGUCAGCAUUCCAGCCGCAGCCCUGGGCCCAUUCCAGGCCCAAACCCAACAGAGGCCAGGACCUGGCAGCAGCCACCAGAGACCCAGGUGCAUUGACCACUGUCCUCUCUAUACCUACGCUUGACCGUAUCUUACUUACGAUACAUACUGCACGUUUUUAUCUGCAGCGGGAGGGGGUUCAUUUAUAUUAGCUUAGUCUACCACAUAGAUCUAAACUGAAUUCUUGUUAAAAUGCUAAUUUUCCUGUGAAAGCCCAUCUCCCCGUCUCCUCAGAGUGUGACUUUCCUUCCUAGAGAAAGGAGUUUUAGUUUUGAUCUUCCAGUCUCUUGAAGGCUCUGAUCCUUCACAGCCUGGAAAUAUCUCAACAACACACUUCAACAAUUUUAAACUGUUUUUCUGGUAUCUGUAUUCCAGAGAAAACGAAAAUAUUUACUGUCAGAAGCUGUAUCUGAAGAUUUUGUCAGCAAGUCCAUUCAAACUCAUCUAUUUGGGGAUUUGCAUUUGGCUCGAAUGGACCCAGCCCAGCUCCUCUAUGGCCAGCUUACUCCUGGAGUAAUCCUGGAGUAAUCCUGCCCUGUGUCUCACCCAGAAAGCUCUCGUUGCGUCUGGGAAUGACAUCCACGAGGACCCAGAACCACACGGCUGUGCGUCGCAGGCGGCGCUGGACGGGGUCGCUGUGCGGAGGCCGGGAGUGACGCCGGCACGGGGGGCUGUGAGCCCAGACCCGCCAGGGGAGCAAGAAGAGGAGGGGGCUGGUGUGGGCGCUGCAGCCCCAGGCUGCCACAACCACGGGGCACGGCAGGCCGGUCCCUGAACCCCCGUGGACCUCACUUCCCUCAUCUGUCCAGUGAACUCCGGGAUCCCUGGCAAACCUACAGGAGCAUGUGCCCAGGGCACUAUCGUGUCGUAGGGGACCAUCGAUGAAGUGCCCGCAGAUCCCUCUGUGACUGUGCUUUCUUCUCUGAGGACGUGAGAAGGAAGGAUGACCAGAGGCCACCGCUGCCGCCACGGGACAUAAAGAGUGAGCCACUGCACGCCACCUUCCUUAAUCUCCGUAGAACACUGCGUCUUCAUCCUUGGCCCUUGGUCCCGGCUGGACGCCUGGGGACAGGGAGCACCCCUGCCAUGACCGCCAGCCCAGGAGAGGGGAGAAUCCUGCUUCCACCAGGUUCUGGGUCCAUUCCUGUUUUCCGCGCAGUAUGUAUAGACGCUAUCGAUGCAGGAAGCAAUUACCAAUAAGACAGGUGCAUGUGAUAUACAGCCAAGUAUUUCAAAGGUCACCCAUUUGGAGAUAAAAAGAAAUACAAGGAACUAACACAUCCAUUUAGAAUCAGGAUCAUCAUACCUGGGCUCCUGCUGCUGCCUCUACAGGGAAAACUGAAUCCAGACGGCAAGAGGCGACCAGACCGCCCCCCGCCCCCUGCCCCGCCCUCUACCUCAACUCCCGCGUCACCUGCCUCCACCUCCCCCACCUGUCAGGCAAUGGAUUUCAAGGUCAAACAGUGAAUAAUACAGACGCUCACGAAGGCCACUCCCUUAGACUCUGCCCUCAACACUAAUGAACAGGCUGUUCUCCAAAACCAACCUGUGGGGCUGAGAGCAAGGAAGCAAAUCCACAACGCCCAAGACAUCGCGCUCCGCGUGGAGGCCUCUCGGUGGCAAUUCACAAGCCUGGGUGACGAAACCCGGAAAUCCCAGCCAAACAGACACAAAGGAAGAGCACUGAUGAGCAACAUAAACGGCCUGACCAUCUUUUUCAACCUGAGGCCCAGGUUUUCAGCUCUGCCCAUGGGAUGCACAGCUGGGACCAGCACUGCCAGCUGCUCCCAAAUGCUGAGCUUGCUGGGCUGAGAACCUCAGCUUCAGGGUGGGCAACACGGACCCGGAGGCCUCUGUCUAAAACAGCAAGCUUCUUAUUUUCAGGAGGCUCUGUCCACUCCUUAGAUGACUAGCCAGGCUGGGUCCAGUCAGAAGAGCUUCAAACAGAGGGUACGGGAUUCAAUUACAUCAAAGAUGGAAGACAAGCCACACGGGGCAGGCGAGGCAGGUGCUCCCCCAGCAGAGCCCCUGGGAACAUGGCGUGACCACAGGGCCAGCGGCGCCCAGCAGCAGCUGGGACCAAAGGGGGCAACUCUGCAGGAGCUGGGACCCUGGAGGGAGGGGCUGAGAGGCUGCCUUGGUGGGGGUCGGGGAGACAUGCCCUGGCUCCCCCGCUGCCCCCAGCAUUCUGGUGUCCGCAGUCAGACUCCAGAGCCCGGAGCAGGUGAGACAAGGGUGGGGGACGCAGCGGAGAGACGACAGAUGAGGGACCAUCACGAUGACCCAAUAAACCCUGAGGGUGGCCCCUUCCCUGAGGAGCUGGGGAGCAUCAGAGGCCAGGUACCACCCAGAAAAGGGGGUGCUGAGGACACAGCACCUGCCUGCUACCCAACAGGCUAAAGCUGCUCUUCCUACUUUUCUGCCAGUAACCCCCCCCACCACCACCACCACCACGGGUCUCUGCCUGGUGCCUGUGGGACUUCUCACCGCCUCGCCAGGCUGCAUCUGAUGGGCAGAAUCUGCAAAACAAGCGUGAUCGCCAUGCUACCCUUGGCUCCCACGGACCCCUGGGCCGAGGGGUCUGAGCUGAGUGAGAAAGGAAGGCGGCUGCAAGGCACAGCCCAGCCUUGGGACCACUGUGGGGGGAGCAGAGUCCCAGGAGAUGGCGAUCAUCGGCCCUGCCCGGGCACCCGCUCGGGACGGUGCCCAGCAGAGGGUGGGCUGCCCCGGGGAGGGCAGUCACCCAAAGUCAUAACACCACGGCCCACCCCAAGAAUGGGGGCGGCUGUGUUCCAACUGCUGAGACACAGGCAGCGGCUCGGGGUCAAGAGGAGCUGCUCCUAAACAAUGACUUGCACUAGGAGUGGAACCCAACAGCGACCACUCCCAGCCGGAAUGGUCAUCCCCACGACAGUGAGCUGGGGGACCACGUGCCGGCCUGGAGUGGGGUUUGAGGAGGUCUAUGGAAAAGCCCCUGCAGAGCCGAGCAGUGACUCAGACUAGAAAUCAGGCAAAGCUCUGCAGCAGCACGUCAACAGGGGCUCGGGCAGCGAGCUGAGACGGCCAGGUGAGCCCAGAGCAGAACCGAUCAGAUCGGCUGCUACGCUGAGUGGGAGACCCAGCAGAGAACUGAGAGGCAAAGGGGGUGCUCAGGGAAAAGCACCAAACAAGCAGAGAAGCACCGUGAGCUCCCUCUCAGGGACAGGUGCAUCGCUGUGAAUGGAGCUGUGUGCUAAUAAAGUCUUCUGAAAUUUGGAAUUGCUGCCCAUUGGUGACUUGCGGUUAAGCACCUCUCCCUGGGAUCUUGCAUUUCUAAAAAUACUAUUUGCUUUUUAUUUAACACUGAGCCUUUUUAUGUUCUAGAAUACAAAAAUAGGGUCUUAUUAUUUUAAAAGCUUCAGAGAGAAACUAGCCAUAUUAUUAGAAAAAGAAGAUAUAUGCAGCUAUAGUCUGUUCAAAUAUCAAGAGGUGUGACUUUUCAAAUUCACAUUUCAAUCUUUAUUUACAUAAGACUUUUAGAAACAGUGGGUGUAAAUAUUAAAUCACCCGAGCCUGGGUGAAAUUUUAUUGAGAAUAACUACAAAUAAAGAGAAACUGAUUUUUUAAAGUCAGUUUCUGAAAUUUAGAUGAAAAGAAUAUCGAGCAUUAACAGAAAAUGAUAUAUUUACAUAUCAAUAUGGGUUUUCUAUGCACAGAUUCACUGCCUAUGACACAGAGAGGCCAGCUUGGGAGUGAGUUACAAAGGGAGGAAAACCCUCAUCAGACAGGUACUGUUGUGCAAACAGAGCAUUAGCUUAAAUGAUCCAAUCGCUGCUUCAGCCAAAUUUUUUUUCUUGCGCCGUUCAUACCAGAACACAGCCUCUCAGAGCGUGAAGAAUCCGUAUUAUACUUCAAGUGUCUGCCCAGCAGACGGGGGAUGUGAAAGGCACAUUCCAGGGAAACGGGCUGGGGACAAGCAGGGUUGCUGGUGAGUCACCAGCGAUGAACCCCCCUACCGGGGUCAGAUUUCUCAGGUACACGCCGUGUACUCAAAAUCCAGGGAUGUCUGGCAGUUGCAUGAGUCAAGUGAAACACAGUCAGUUCAAGGUGCUGGAUCUCUGACCUCACUGCCACUCAGGAUCAUACUACGAAAUGCAACAGAAGCUGCGGGAAUCUUCCCGAGGACAGCGUGUAAGCGGUCGAAAAGCAUAUCUUCACGGGCUGGGGGGUCGGGGGGGCGCGGGGGGGCUGCCAGCGACCUUUGUUUUCAUC